GAUGAACGCUGGCGGCGUGCUUAACACAUGCAAGUCGAACGAUGAAGCCCAGCUUGCUGGGUGGAUUAGUGGCGAACGGGUGAGUAACACGUGAGUAACCUGCCCUUAACUCUGGGAUAAGCCUGGGAAACUGGGUCUAAUACCGGAUAGGAGCGUCCACCGCAUGGUGGGUGUUGGAAAGAUUUAUCGGUUUUGGAUGGACUCGCGGCCUAUCAGCUUGUUGGUGAGGUAAUGGCUCACCAGGGCGACGACGGGUAGCCGGCCUGCGAGGGUGACCGGCCACACCGGGACUAAGACACGGCCCAGACUCCUGCGGGAGGCAGCAGUGGGGAAUAUUGCACAAUGGGCGCAAGCCUGAUGCAGCGACGCCGCGUGAGGGAUAACGGCCUUCGGGUUGUAAACCUCUUUCAGUAGGGAAGAAGCGAAAGUGACGGUACCUGCAGAAGAAGCACCGGCUAACUACGUG
rnacentral:rRNA from 1 species